rnacentral:rRNA from 1 species
GACAGAGGUGGCAAGCGUUGUUCGGAUUUAUUGGGUGUAAAGGGUCCGUAGGUGGUCGAGCAAGUCCGGCGUGAAAUCCCAUGGCUCAACCGUGGAACGGCGUUGGAAACUGCACGACUUGAGUACCGCAGAGGUAAAGGGAAUUCCCGGUGUAAGGGUGAAAUCUGUAGAUAUCGGGAGGAACACCAGUGGCGAAGGCGCUUUACUGGGCGGUUACUGACACUGAGGGACGAAAGCAAGGGGAGCAAACAGG